UGGCCAGCUGACCUGGCGUGCCCGGCUGUUUUACUUCAAAUAAAGAACAUGGUGAAACUGAUUCACACAUUAGCUGAUCAUGGUGACGAUGUCAACUGCUGUGCCUUCUCCUUUUCCCUCUUGGCUACUUGCUCCUUGGACAAAACAAUUCGCCUGUACUCGUUACAUGACUUUACUGAACUGCCACACUCUCCGUUGAAGUUUCACACCUAUGCUGUCCACUGCUGCUGUUUCUCCCCUUCAGGACAUAUUUUGGCAUCAUGUUCAACAGAUGGUACCACUGUCCUAUGGAAUACUGAAAAUGGACAGAUGUUGGCAGUGAUGGAACAGCCUAGUGGCAGCCCCGUGAGGGUUUGCCAGUUUUCCCCAGACUCCAGGUGUUUGACAUCAGGGGCAGCUGAUGGAACUGUGGUUUUGUGGAAUGCACAGUCAUACAAGUUAUAUAGAUGUGGUAGUGUUAAAGAUGGCUCCUUGGUGGCAUGUGCAUUUUCUCCUAAUGGAAGCUUCUUUGUCACUGGCUCCUCAUGUGGUGAUUUAACAGUGUGGGAUGAUAAAAUGAGGUGUCUGCAUAGUGAAAAAGCACAUGAUCUUGGAAUUACCUGCUGCGAUUUUUCUUCACAGCCAGUUUCUGAUGGAGAACAAGGUCUUCAGUUUUUUCGAUUGGCAUCAUGUGGUCAGGAUUGCCAAGUCAAAAUUUGGAUUGUUUCUUUUACCCAUAUCUUAGGUUUUGAAUUAAAAUAUAAAAGUACCCUGAGUGGGCACUGUGCUCCUGUUCUGGCUUGUGCUUUUUCCCAUGAUGGGCAGAUGCUAGUCUCAGGGUCAGUGGAUAAGUCUGUCAUAGUAUAUGAUACUAACACUGAGAAUAUCCUUCACACGUUGACUCAGCACACCAGGUAUGUCACAACUUGUGCUUUUGCACCUAAUACCCUUUUACUUGCUACUGGUUCGAUGGACAAAACAGUGAACAUCUGGCAAUUUGACCUGGAAACACUUUGCCAAGCAAGGAGCACAGAAGAUCAGCUGAAGCAAUUUACUGAAGAUUGGUCAGAGGAGGAUGUCUCAACAUGGCUUUGUGCACAAGAUUUAAAAGAUCUCGUUGGUAUUUUCAAGAUGAAUAACAUUGAUGGAAAAGAACUGUUGAAUCUUACAAAAGAAAGUCUGGCUGAUGAUUUGAAAAUUGAAUCUCUAGGACUGCGUAGUAAAGUGCUGAGGAAAAUUGAAGAGCUCAGGACCAAGGUUAAAUCCCUUUCUUCAGGAAUCCCUGAUGAAUUUGUAUGUCCAAUAACUAGAGAACUUAUGAAAGAUCCAGUCAUCGCCUCAGUUAGAUAAUUUCUUAGAACUACAGGAAGAGCCAUUCUUAACAACAAUUGCCGUCUGCAUCACUGAUCUGGAUGACGAAGUGGAUUCUUUCAAGACAGCGCAACCAGAACAAAAUAUUGAAGGGCACGGAUGCUACAGCUGAUCUGGACUGCAGAUACAACACAAGAUAACAAGAUACACCUGCUAUUCAACUUCUGUUUGUGUAAAUCUGUCUUUCAUUGCUGCAGUCUGUCCCAAGAACUGGGAAGGAUUGAAUAUUCUGGGGCCAUCGCUGCAAACUCCUGAGGCUCUGCCAUUUUCAGGGGAUCUCAAGUUUUAGCAGCCACAGGGACUUACCAACACCAUAUACGGAAACAAAGAGACUGAAGAAUAGCCAGCCACAUGCUUAAGCAAACAGGACCACGGCUAAAUUAUGCUCAGGAAUUCCAGCUAUUCUGCUGCAAAGGCCGACCUCGGGUGCUGCCCACCAGGCUCCAGUGAGGGUUAAUGCACUCCGCCAGACCCGAAGGAAAAGAGGGCAGGGGAGGGCAGGAGAAAAGAAUGCCCUGCUAUGGGCAGUACCUUGCCUUCUGGCCAGUGAAAUACAAAGAUGGAGAAAAAAAAAGACUUGGUAUGAAAUGGGAGCUCAAAAAUCAACGUGAACAGAUGGCACUUUUUAGGACUCAAAUUGGACACAAUUUACUCUAGUUGCAAAAUCCUUAACAAGAUGGCAUUUGUGAAUUAGAUUCCCAUGAAAGCACAUAUUUUCUGACGAUCUGAAUAAUUUCACCUUAGCAACUUGCCUUCUGUCUUGAGAAGGCAAGUAGGUUUGUAAUGGCAGACGUUCAUUUUACGAACAACCUGACUGGCCGGGCACGGUGGCUCACGCCUGUAAUACCAGCACUUUGGGACGCUGAGGCGGGCAGAUCAUGACGUCAAGAGAUCGAGACCAUUCUGGC